rnacentral:rRNA from 1 species
UGAGGAAUAUUGGACAAUGGAUGGAAAUCUGAUCCAGCCAUGCCGCGUGCAGGAAGAAUGUCCUAUGGAUUGUAAACUGCUUUUGUAUGGGAGCAAUAAGGUCUUCGUGAAGGCCGAUGAGAGUACCAUACGAAUAAGCACCGGCUAACUCCGUGCCAGCAGCCGCGGUACUACGGAGGGUGCAAGCGUUAUCCGGAUUUAUUGGGUUUAAAGGGUGCGUAGGCGGUUAUGUAAGUCAGCGGUGAAAUUUUUCGGCUCAACCGGAAACAGGCCGUUGAUACUGUAUAGCUUGAAUAUGGUAGCGGUGAGUGGAAUGUGUAGUGUAGCGGUGAAAUGCUUAGAUAUUACACAGAAUAUCGAUUGCGAAGGCAACUCACAAAGCCAUUAUUGACGCUGAGGCACGAAAGUGUGGGGAUCAAACA